rnacentral:tRNA from 1 species
AGUUGUGUAGCUCAGUUGGAUUAGAGCAUCUCGCUACGAACGAGAAGGUCGCGGGUUCAAGUCCCUCCACAACUGCCA